rnacentral:lncRNA from 1 species
AGCUUUUGCAGAGACCUGGGCACAGCAAGGAUUUGGGGCCAUGAGGGAGUGGCGAGAAGUGCAGCAGGAUGGGUGCCUGUGAUGCAGCAGGAUGGGCGCCUGUGAAGCCUGUGAUGCAGGAUGAGCACCUGUGAUGCAGCAGGAUGGGCGCCUGUGAUGCCUGUGAUGCAGGAUGAGCACCUGUGUUGCAGCAGGAUGAGCGCUUGUGAUGCCUGUGAUGCAGGAUGAGCACCUGUGUUGCAGCAGGAUGGGCUCCUAGCUGCCCGGGUGGCAGGAGGUGGGGCUGGAAGGAAGUGGGGCAGAUCACAGGGAAGGGGGAAGCUGGCCCAGGCAUCUGGAUUUUAUCCCAAAGCUCAUGAAUGUUAAAAGGCAGGUCCGAGGGUACCCUGGAGGACUUCCAUAGCAUCUUUAUCAGGCCUGAUGCCAUGGCCCCUAAAACUCAUUUGCUUUAUUGCUACCCGAAUACCCUUUACAAAUGCAAAUCCGAGCAAUGAGCACACUGCCUGCAACCCUCAGGGAUCCCGACUCUUACAGUGAAGACAGAGCUCUUCAAUACACCCUGUGGAAAGGCUGGCCAGCUUGGAUGGACCUGGGACCCUUAGGAGCCACAGACCUCAGGAGCCAGCCACACCUGCACAGUGUUUACUGAGCUGGGUGUCAGACUUACCCCUGAUGAGGCCCUGGUCAGUGGUGAAGAGGAAAGCCAGACAGCUCAGGAGAUGGCUACCACCAAUCAUGGGAAGUAUGUACUCCAGAAUCAUCCCAGCCAGGGUGCACUGCAGGGAUAAAUGCUGGGAACACUGAGAAGACAGGCUCGUCCCUGUGCUAGGGUGCAUGGAAGGCUUCCUGGAGGAGGUAAUAUCUACCCUGCUCGCAGAAGGAGUGAAUGGGACAUGGCCUGGUCAGGUCAACCUGAAAGUUUUGAGCAGGUGAAUAAACCAACUUAAAAAAACUUUCCACAUGUUUCUGUACUCCUCUGGGUGGCCUCCUCCUUAUGAUUCUACAGAGAAAGGCUGGCUUCUGGCCUUGCCUAGGUUGGGAAUGGGUGAAAACUCUCUGAGGAAUGGAAAAGUCAUUGCUAACUGAUACUUGGCACAGCCUCAUCGGUGUCUUUUAUUUUUUAUAAUCUACUCUUUAUGUUAAUUAUAACAUUAGGCUCACUCCAUGAUUUGUACGCCCUAAAGUUGUUCCCCAUUCAAUGACCACAGUCAAAAUAGCACUAAUUCCUGUUAAAUGUCUUGAAGAACAUUAAAAACACACACACACACACACACACACACACACACACACACACACACACAACUUUCCCUUAUAAUGAUGCCCUCUACCACUCCUUGCAAUAAGAUCCUUAACAUAGAACUGCCUUGGGUUGAAGAGUUUUUUCUCUCUAAUUCAGGAUUAUAAAUUGUGACUUAAAACAAUUGCAAUAAGAGGCCCCAUAAACAUUGUUAAAAUGAUGGUGUUUGAAGAGAUGUCCGCACUAUGUAUAUUUCACAGCUGGAAUAGAUCUCUUUGGGGAGCAUGUCUCCUCCCUGGUGUUUGGCAAAGUAUAAUUGAAUUAGUGAAAGUCUAAUAAAGUUUGGGGAAAUGUCGAG